GUCCACGCUGUAAACGAUGAGUGCUAGACGUCACGGGUAUUGACCCCUGUGGUGUCGAAGUUAACACGUUAAGCACUCCGCCUGGGGGAGUACGGUCGCAAAGAUUAAAACUCAAAGGAAUUGACGGGGGCCCCGCACAAGCGGUGGAGCAUGUGGUUUAAUUCGACGCAACGCGCAGAACCUUACCUGGGUUUGAACUGCAGUGGACCGGUGCAGAGAUGUACCUUCCCUUCGGGGCUGCUGUAGAGGUGCUGCAUGGCUGUCGU
rnacentral:rRNA from 1 species